CCUACUGGGUUUGGAACCCUGUGUGCCACAAGACUGUAUUAGCCUAAGUCUAACCAUUUUCAUUACACACACACUAGCAUAAUCAAGUAGCAGUGUUAGCAUUAUAUUAUUAGUCCAUAGGCUGAGCAGAUGUGUGUCUUCCAGUGAGCACUCCCUCCCACCUCCUUUUGCAGCUGGCUGGCUGGCUGGCUGGGUAUGUGUGUGUGGCUGGGCCGUCAGGACCUCUGCUGUGGGUUUACUGCCUCCUGGCCCCCUGCCCAGCCACACACAGCUACUGCCACGUAGCUGCUAACGCUAAGGCCAGCCCAGGGAGAGAGAGAGAGAGACAAUUUACAGCUACAGCACCACUCCGUUCCUGCAUCAAAACAUUGCAGGAGACUACAGCAUGCAAACACACAACAUACAUAAAAAAAAACACAAACUACUAUCACAUUGUCGUAUCAACAAACUAGGUAUGACCAGGCCCCCAGUGUCCGGUCUGGAGCAGGAAGUCACGAGCUCUUCUGGUCGGCUACCGCGUAGCAACCUAGCAGCCCUAGAAAGACUAUGUAAAUUAUGUUCGCCUGGACGGUCAAACAAUUUUUUCUCCCCGACGCCUGCUUUGGCCUCUAAAAUGUGUUUAUUAUGACCAAGUUCAAUCCCCACUGUGAAUUAUUUUAAAGUUCACUACCAAUGGAGAUAUUUCAUUAAGUAGUGAUCCAUGCUGACUGCUACAUCUGUCCUCACACAGGCCCACGUGCUGACACCGACCAAUCACGGCUCGCGCCCUCAUGCACGCUCUUUGCACGUGCACCCAGCAGCACUGGGAUGACUCUCUCAGGCUUGGAUGUCCCCGUCGUCUGAGCAGCCACCCACCCAGUCUCCUUUCCCUCUGCAUUCCCGCCUGUCUCCAGACCCCCAUAGCCUCGUCGAUGUCUACGUAUCACCAAUCCAGUCCAUGCAAGUGGUUCAGUCUGAACGCCCAUGUGAACACACAAAUGAAGCUCUGAAGCAGAACCAUUUCCCUAGAAGCUACCGCCAGGGCUUCUACAGCCAAGCAGAGUACUUUGUGGAGCAGCCAGACAUCCAGCAAGAUGCACUACAGUCUAGUGAGAGAGGGGCUGGGGAGAGAGGGACUGGGGAGAGAGGGGCUGGGGUGGCGUUUGGGGAUGUGGCAGAGACAAGCCGAGUUGGAUAG
rnacentral:lncRNA from 13 species